ACUCCUACGGGAGGCAGCAGUGGGGAAUAUUGGACAAUGGGGGCAACCCUGAUCCAGCAAUGCCGCGUGAGUGAUGAAGGCCUUCGGGUUGUAAAGCACUUUUAUCAGGAGCGAAAUACUACGGGUUAAUACCUCGUGGGGCUGACGGUACCUGAGGAAUAAGCACCGGCUAACUUCGUGCCAGCAGCCGCGGUAAUACGAAGGGUGCAAGCGUUAAUCGGAAUUACUGGGCGUAAAGCGUGCGUAGGCGGUUUCUUAAGUCUGCUGUGAAAUCCCCGGGCUCAACCUGGGAAUGGCAGUGGAUACUGGGAAGCUAGAGUGUGAGAGAGGAUGGUGGAAUUCCCGGUGUAGCGGUGAAAUGCGUAGAGAUCGGGAGGAACAUCAGUGGCGAAGGCGGCCAUCUGGCUCAACACUGACGCUGAGGCACGAAAGCGUGGGGAGCAAACAGGAUUAGAUACCCGAGUAGUAC
rnacentral:rRNA from 1 species